rnacentral:rRNA from 1 species
GACGAACGCUGGCGGCGUGCUUAACACAUGCAAGUCGAACGGUGAAGCGCCUUCCUUUUUGGUGGGUGUGGAUGAGUGGCGAACGGGUGAGUAACACGUGAGUAACCUGCCCCCUUCUUCUGGAUAACCGCAUGAAAGUGUGGCUAAUACGGGAUAUUCUGGGUCUGUCGCAUGAUGGGUCUGGGAAAGAUAUUGUUUCGGUGGGGGAUGGGCUCGCGGCCUAUCAGCUUGUUGGUGGGGUGAUGGCCUACCAAGGCGGUGACGGGUAGCCGGCCUGAGAGGGUGGACGGUCCCACUGGGACUGAGACACGGCCCGGACUCCUACGGGAGGCAGCAGUGGGGAAUAUUGCACAAUGGGCGCAAGCCUGAUGCAGCGACGCCGCGUGAGGGAUGGAGGCCUUCGGGUUGUGAACCUCUUUCGCCAGUGAAGCAGGCCUGCCUCGUUUGUGGGUGGGUUGACGGUAGCUGGAUAAGAAGCGCCGGCUAACUACGUG